rnacentral:rRNA from 1 species
UCGACCUCGGAUCAGGUAGGGAUACCCGCUGAACUUAAGCAUAUCAAU